rnacentral:rRNA from 1 species
AGUGAACGCUGGCGGUAGGCCUAACACAUGCAAGUCGAACGGCAGCACAGUAAGAGCUUGCUCUUACGGGUGGCGAGUGGUGGACGGGUGAGGAAUACAUCGGAAUCUACUUUUUCGUGGGGGAUAACGUAGGGAAACUUACGCUAAUACAGCAUACGAUCUACGGGUGAAAGCAGGGGAUCUUCGGACCUUGCGCGAUUGAAUGAGCCGAUGUCGGAUUAGCUAGUUGGCGGGGUAAAGGCCCACCAAGGCGACGAUCCGUAGCCGGUGUGAGAGGAUGAUCAGCCACACUGGAACUGAGACACGGUCCAGACUCCUACGGGAGGCAGCAGUGGGGAAUAUUGGACAGUGGGCGCAAGCCUGAUCCAGCCAUACCGCGUGGGUGAAGAAGGCCUUCGGGUUGUAAAGCCCUUUUGUUGGGAAAGAAAAGCAGCAGGUUAAUACCCCGCUGUUCUGACGGUACCCAAAGAAUAAGCACCGGCUAACUUCGUG